AUCCAGUUAAAGAGUCCCAAAUAGAAUGAAACACGCAUCCUGGAU
rfam:Schistosoma haematobium scaffold432_10, whole genome shotgun sequence.